rnacentral:lncRNA from 1 species
AUCACAUCGACAAUGAAGACCGGACUUGGAUCGAAAGCUAUAGCUUCGCCAAAGCCUAGACGAAGACGGAAAUAAACGUGUCCCAACAAAACAAUUAUAUUUAUUUUUACCAUGCAAACCUACAAGCUCAAGGAUCUUAUUGUGAUCUAUUACAAUGGUAUAAAGAUGACCAAAUGAUUAUCUUUAAAAGCAAAAUCCGAUUAUUGAAAAAAAGCACAAAAUACGUGGUAGCGACAAUCUUUUUAUCUCCAAAUUACGGCAAAUUGAAAUGUUUCGAAAGUUCGGUAAUAUUUUUAGCUCCGCCUUCGGAGUAAUUGCCUGCAUAAAUGUCUAUGACUAUGAACUCCUGUCUUCUGAGAUAUUUGCCCAUGGGCAAGAAAACAGGAGAAUUUAAUAUAAUGGCAACACAAUUUAAGACUGCAUUUUAGGAA